rnacentral:rRNA from 1 species
AUGGACGCGCUCGCGCGCUUCCCGGGCUCCUACUGGCGCGACCUCUUCGACUCCCGCGUCGGCCGCACCACCUGGCCCUACGGCUCCGGCGUCUGGUCCAAGAAGGAGUUCGUGCUCCCGGAGAUCGACUCCGACCACAUCGUCUCUCUCUUCGAGGGCAACAGCAACCUUUUCUGGGCCGAGCGCCUCGGCCGCGAGCACCUCGGCGGGAUGAACGAUCUCUGGGUCAAGCAGUGCGGCAUCUCGCACACUGGCUCAUUCAAGGACCUCGGCAUGACGGCGCUCGUCAGCCAGGUCAACCGCCUCCGCCGGGCUCCGCUCUCGCGCCCCAUCAACGGCGUCGGGUGCGCGUCCACUGGCGACACCUCCGCCGCGCUCUCGGCCUACUGUGCCGCUGCGGGCAUCCCCGCCAUCGUGUUCCUCCCCGCCGACCGCAUCUCGCUGCAGCAGCUCAUCCAGCCCAUUGCCAACGGCGCCACGGUGCUCUCGCUUGACACGGAUUUCGACGGAUGCAUGCGGCUUAUCAGGGAGGUGACAGCUGAGCUGCCCAUAUACCUCGCAAACUCACUCAACUCGCUUCGGCUGGAGGGGCAGAAGACUGCAGCCAUCGAGAUAUUGCAACAGUUCAAUUGGCAGGUGCCGGACUGGGUCAUCAUCCCAGGAGGCAAUCUGGGGAACAUUUAUGCUUUCUACAAGGGAUUUGAGAUGUGCCGUGUUCUUGGGCUAGUUGAUCGCGUUCCACGUCUUGUAUGUGCACAGGCCGCCAACGCAAAUCCACUGUACCGGUACUACAAGUCUGGGUGGACUGAUUUCCAGUCACUUGUUGCUGGAACUACAUUUGCAUCUGCCAUACAGAUCGGUGAUCCAGUAUCUAUUGACCGUGCGGUUGUUGCGCUGAAGGCAACUGAUGGCAUUGUCGAGGAAGCUACAGAGGAGGAACUCAUGGAUGCCACGGCGCUUGCUGACCUCACUGGGAUGUUUGCUUGCCCACAUACUGGGGUUGCACUUGCUGCUCUGUUCAAGCUCCGUGACCAGGGUAUAAUUGGCACUAACGACCGCACGGUGGUUGUUAGUACAGCACACGGGCUAAAGUUCACACAAUCAAAGAUCGACUACCAUGAUAAGAACAUCAAGGACAUGUUGUGCCAGUAUGCCAAUCCACCGAUCAGUGUGAAGCCUGACUUUGGGUCUGUCAUGGAUGUUCUCCAGAAGAAGCUCAAUGGUAAGAUCUGA